rnacentral:rRNA from 1 species
GACGAACGCUGGCGGCGUGCCUAACACAUGCAAGUCGAGCGGAGUUGACAAGAGGAAGUUUUCGGAUGGAAUCUUGCCAGCUUAGCGGCGGACGGGUGAGUAACGCGUGAGCGACCAACCUUGCACAGGGGGAUAACGGACCGAAAGGUUCACUAAUACCGCAUGAGACCACGGUGUUGCAUGACACAGGGGUCAAAGGAGGAAUCCGGGGCAAGACGGGCUCGCGUCCGAUUAGGUAGUUGGAGGGGUAACGGCCCACCAAGCCUAUGAUCGGUAGCCGACCUGAGAGGGUGAUCGGCCACAUUGGAACUGAGAUACGGUCCAAACUCCUACGGGAGGCAGCAGUGGGGAAUAUUGGGCAAUGGGGGAAACCCUGACCCAGCAACGCCGCGUGAAGGAAGAAGGUUUUCGGAUUGUAAACUUCUGUCCUUGGUGAAGAGAAGAAGACGGUAGCCAAGGAGGAAGCCCCGGCUAACUACGUGCCAGCAGCCGCAGUAA